CUCCACCAGUCAUACAAAGAGAAUGGUUUAAUGCCUCCCAUCAAAAUGAACCAAAGGGAAUUACAUUAUUAUAAGGCAGGUAAUCAAGGAGGUGAUGGAGUCCAGGUGAGUGUCAUAAUGCGCGUGCCGAUGGUGACAGGUGUGCAGCAUAACGAGCAGCUUGGUAACCUAGAGGCCGGAGAGGGAGCACACUUGACACCAGGUCCCAUGUACUUUUUUAACUCCUCGCAACUGCAGUGGCCAAAACAACAACAAGUUUGAGCUCUGGUAUUGUGCCUGGCGGACCAUGCACAAGCUCCACCACAGUCUGGACCUUCACUUCCUGAUCACAGGCCACACCAAGUUUGCCCCCAACUGGUGUUACGGCCUCUUCAACCAGCGCUUCAGAAAGACCAGAGUGGACACUUUGUCUGAGAUUUCUGGUGUUGUGAAGGACAUCACUGUGACAGGGGUCAACAUCCCACAGCUGGUUGGACUGGAGGAUGGUACAGUGCUGGUGGAAAGCUAUGGCUGGCAACAACAUCUGCUGCCACAGUUCAAGCAGUACCAGCACUUCAGCUUCAAAGCUCUGGAGCCUGGACGCCAAGGAGCGUUCGGACUCCGUCAACACCAGGUUUCAGCUGCUGCGCAACACUGAAAUGCUUCCUUCCGUAGAUGGUCUCCCGGUACAAGCACCACCUGGACUGGACACAGCUAGACGAACUUAAGAUUUUGAGAAGAUCAGAGUUUUGUGAUGAGGAGGCUAUGGACAUCACAUGCCCUGUACCAAAGUCAAGGGAAGGACAGAAAUUGAAUUUUUCCUUAUUGUAGGCUACUACUUUCACCACUUUUAGGUUUAGUCUUUACUACACUACUCACUGAUUAGCACAUGACCUCACAUGUGAAUCCUUAAAGAGAUGGGUGGGGCCGGCUUAAGAGGGUGUGAACAAUGCUAAAUGGGUAUAGACAAAAGGAGAGCACUCUGGUAGGUACCAAAUAAACUGCAUGCUUUCCCAAUGAGCAGUAGUGGGAGGACCACACAACAUGUCAUCGCGUGACUCCAAGUUCAUUUCAAUAUUUGUGCAUAAAUGCUUUUUCACAGUAAUUUCUUGCAUAAUUAAUUUUACCAACACAAAAAGAUCCCACCUUGUGUAGCGUAUUUAGUUUUGUUGACAGAAAUGUUUUAUUUUCCAUCAGGCCUGUCAUUACAUUUUUUAUCUGACAUGUACUUUACUCGUGGAAAAAGCUUGGAUGGAACCCUGGUUAGUGACCCUGUAGCGGGUCCAGAUUUGAGUUGUAUCAGCUUGAACAUUUGGAGUAAUGCCCCCCACUAAGCCACACCUCCAAUAUACUUUCCCAGUGUGCUUUGCUUUUCGAGUGGAUUGUAGAGUUACCACCCAAGACUGUAUGUGUUAGUGUCAGAGAGGGUUGUUGAUUUUAUUCAUUUUUGUUCUAUGGCACUCCCCAAAUUAGUUCCUAGGUGAAUGUAAUCAUUCAAAUGGAAGACUUUAUGGCAGUACAUGUAUCAUGAGGGCUUGUUUUGAGGCCCUAGCUUUAUCCUAAUGCAGUGGCCUAAAACUCAUGGUUUUACAGGCCUAAUCAGUCCUCCAGGUAGGGAUGUAGGAUUCCAGGGACUUUGGGCCAGUAAUCGAAAGGUUGUUAGAUCAAAUCCCUGAGCCGACAAGGUAAAAAUCUGUCAUUCUGCCCCUGAACAAGGCAGUUUACCCACUGUUCCUAAGCUGCCAUUGUAAUAAGUGUGUUCAUAACUGACUUGCCUAGUUAAAAAGGUAAAAAAUGAAUUAAAAUGGGUGCAAAAACAUAUAACAAAAUAGAAUGACUUCUCAUUUUGUUUUGAGUCAGUACCACAAACAUUUGAAGUAUUAAUGAUGUUUCAUUGACUUUGAGUUCAACUUACUACUUGUGGUUCAACU
ensembl:lncRNA